AACGAACGCUGGCGGCAGGCUUAACACAUGCAAGUCGAGCGCCCCGCAAGGGGAGCGGCAGCCGGGUGAGUAACGCGUGGGAACGUACCUUUUGGUUCGGAACAACUCCGGGAAACUGGAGCUAAUACCGGAUAAGCCCUAACGGGGAAAGAUUUAUCGCCGAAAGAUCGGCCCGCGUCUGAUUAGCUAGUUGGUGAGGUAACGGCUCACCAAGGCGACGAUCGGUAGCUGGUCUGAGAGGAUGAUCAGCCACACUGGGACUGAGACACGGCCCAGACUCCUACGGGAGGCAGCAGUGGGGAAUAUUGGACAAUGGGCGAAAGCCUGAUCCAGCCAUGCCGCGUGAGUGAUGAAGGCCUUAGGGUUGUAAAGCUCUUUUGUCCGGGAAGAUAAUGACUGUACCGGAAGAAUAAGCCCCGGCUAACUUCGUG
rnacentral:rRNA from 1 species